UUAGUAUAAUACUAAAACUAAUGCCCACCGGUUUGAACAGGGUAUAAGCGAUCCAAUGGCUUAAGUUUAAAAAUCGAUACCCUUUACAAUAGAAGGCCCUACAAUUAGAAAAAUCGCCUAGACGGCAUCACUGAUUUAAUAACUCAAUUUUGUUUUUAUAUAAAUUAUUUUAAAAACUUAUUAUGUCCAGGUUUAGUGGUGCACUACAGCUGACAGAUAUAGACGACUUUAUUACUCCCUCUCAGGAAUGUAUAAAGCCAGUGACAAUAGAUAAGACAAAUUCAAAAACUGGGGCUAAAAUCACAGUGGAAGGAAAUGGUUAUUAUGAGAAAACUGAGAGCGGCAAGAAAAAACUUCAGAAGUUAGAAAUUACACUUCAGGACUGUUUGGCAUGCUCUGGCUGCAUAACAUCUGCCGAGGGUGUGCUAAUUACGCAGCAAAGCCAGGAGGAACUGCUCAAGGUGCUAAGGGAAAAUACCAAACUGAAAACAAUUGAUGGCGCCAGCGAAAAGGUACAAACAGUCGUUUUCACCAUAUCUACGCAACCCAUUUUAAGCUUGGCAAAUCGUUAUCAAAUCGGAGCAGAGGAAGCUGCACGGUACCUGUCCGGCUAUUUCCGAAGUUUAGGUGCCGACUAUGUGUUGUCCACCAAAGUAGCCGACGAUCUGGCGUUGCUUGAAUGCCGGCAGGAGUUCGUAGAGCGUUACCGCGACAAUGAAAAUCUGACAAUGCUGAGCUCUUCGUGCCCGGGUUGGGUGUGUUAUGCGGAGAAGACACACGGCAACUUCAUACUGCCACAUUUAUCUUCAACCCGGUCACCGCAACAGAUAAUGGGUGUUUUAGUAAAGCAGUAUCUGGCCGAGAAGCUGAAUGUUGCUGGGUCCCGCAUUUACCAUGUGACCGUGAUGCCCUGUUACGACAAGAAGCUAGAGGCUUCACGAAAGGAUUUCUUCAGCGAGGUGAAUGCGUCUCGAGACGUUGACUUUGUAAUUACUUCAGUUGAGAUUGAACAGAUGUUGACAGAGGAUGAGCACUCUUUGUCGCAGCACGAGGCGGCAGAUCUGGAUUGGCCUUGGUCUGAUAAGACGCCUGACUCCAUGGUAUGGGCGCAUGAGUCGACGCUUUCUGGUGGUUACGCCGAACACAUAUUUAAAUAUGCUGCAAGCGAGCUCUUUAAUGAAGACAUGCCGUCCGGAGAUAUAGAAUUAAAACCGGUCAGGAAUCGUGACUUCUUUGAGAUUGUUCUUGAGAGAGAUGGCAAAGCCGUGCUGAAGUUUGCCAUUGCUAACGGUUUUCGCAAUAUUCAGAAUUUGGUACAAAAAUUGAAGCGUGGUAAAGGAAGCAAUUAUAAUUUUGUAGAGGUUAUGGCUUGCCCUUCCGGCUGCAUUAACGGUGGUGCUCAGGUCCGACCAACCACUGGACAGCAUGUGCGGGAGCUAACUCAAGAGCUCAGGCAAUUUUAUAAUAAGCUGCCUCGCUCCGUUCCCGAUAAUGACGUGUCAAAGCAUGUAUACAGCAACUUUCUGGACGGCGGUGCCCACACAGACAAAUGUCACGAGCUGCUACACACUAGCUAUCAUGCUGUCGAGAAACUCGGUACAGCUCUAAAUAUUAAGUGGUGAUAAUUCAGUGUAACGCAUGAUUUUGUGGAGGGAAAUCAUCAUUGCGCAUGUCCAACCUAUUUGAGAGCACUUGCGAUUGGAAGCGGCAGCCGCAACGGCUGAUUCCACUGGAAUGCGGCUUGUUUCUUCCUGCUGCUUCUAACUGCAGAAGGAGCACUUCUGGCCUGAUUGAAAAAUCAAUCGUUUGAAAUAAGUUUCCUUAAAAACAAAGUUAUAUUCGUUGACAUUUGUUGUUAAAAAGAGUCAGAGGUGGUCAUAAAAAAAAUAAAAAUAAACAGAUUUAAUUGCUCAAUUGUAGUACACACUACGAUUGUAGGA